AUUGAACGCUGGCGGCAGGCCUAACACAUGCAAGUCGAACGAGUGGCGGACGGGUGAGUAAUGUCUGGGAAACUGCCCCAUGGAGGGGGAUAACUACUGGAAAAGGUAUCUAAUACCGCAUACCAUCAGAUGUGCCCAGAUGGGAUUAGCUUGUGGGUGGGGUAACGGCUCACCAAGGCGACGAUCCCUAGCUGGUCUGAGAGGAUGACCAGCCACACUGGAACUGAGACACGGUCCAGACGCCUACGGGAGGCAGCAGUGGGGAAUAUUGCACAAUGGGCGCAAGCCUGAUGCAGCCAUGCCGCGUGUAUGAAGAAGGCCUUAGGGUUGUAAAGUACUUUCAGCGGGGAGGCGUUACCCGCAGAAGAAGCACCGGCUAACUCCGUGCCAGCAGCCGCGGUAAUAC
rnacentral:rRNA from 1 species